rnacentral:rRNA from 1 species
ACGGUGGAUGCCUUGGCGCCAAGAACCGAUGAAGGACGUGGGCGACUGCGAAAAGCCACGGGGAGCUGUCUACCUAGCUUCGAUCCGUGGAUGUCCGAAUGGGGAAACCCAGCACUCGUCAUGGAGUGUUACCCUGGUCUGAAUACAUAGGGCCAGUGGAGGGAACCAGGGGAAUUGAAACAUCUCAGUACCCUGAGGAAAGGAAAGCAACCGCGAUUCCCCUAGUAGCGGCGAGCGAAGAGGGAAGAGACUAAACCGUGUCAGUGUCAAGCCUGGUGGCGUUGCUGACGCGGGGUCGUGGGACCACUAGUGAGAACACCAGAUCUCACACAGAGUUACCAAGCAGCCGUGUAUAAGAAUCGUCUGGAAAGUCGAGCCAUAGUGGGUAAUAGCCCCGUAUUUUAAACAUGAGCAGCCUCUGAGUGUUAUCCCAAGUAGCGCCGGGACCGUGAAAACCGGCGUGAAUCUGUGAGGACCACCUCAUAAGUCUAAGUAUUCCUUGGCGACCGAUAGUGAACCAGUACCGUGAGGGAAAGGUGAAAAGCACCCCGGGAGGGGAGUGAAAUAGUACCUGAAACCGUUGAUGUACAAACAGUCAAAGUGUCGUCGGCGUAAGCCGGCCACGAUGGCGUGCCUUUUGAAGAAUGAGCCUGCGAGUUAUGGUAUGUGGCAAGGUUAACCCGUUGAGGGGGAGCCGGAGCGAAAGCGAGUCUGAAUAGGGCGUUCAGUCGCAUGCUAUAGACCCGAAGCCGAGUGAUCUAUCCAUGGUCAGGGUGAAGCUGGGGUAAGACCUAGUGGAGGCCCGAACACACGUCAGUUGAAAAUGGCGGUGAUGAACUGUGGAUAGGGGUGAAAGGCCAAACAAACUCGGUGAUAGCUGGUUCUCCUCGAAAUGCAUUUAGGUGCAGCGUCGUGCGUUCAGUAUCGGAGGUAGAGCACUGGAUGGGUACGGGGGCCUACAAGCCUACCAACCCCAGCCAAACUCCGAAUGCCGAUACUCCAGAGCACGGCAGUGAGACCACGGGGGAUGAGCUUCGUUGGUCGAAAGGGAAACAGCCCAGAUCAUCAGCUAAGGCCCCUAAUUCAGGACUAAGUGGAAAACGAUGUGGGACCGCAAAGACAGCCAGGAGGUUGGCUUAGAAGCAGCCACCCUUAAAAGAGUGCGUAACAGCUCACUGGUCGAGUGGUCCUGCGCGGACAAUUUAACGGGGCUCAAGUCCUGAGCCGAAGCUAUGGGCUUCUACGUAAGUAGGAGCGGUAGAGGAGCGUCGAUGGUGCAGUGAAGCUUCGGAGGAAUCCGGGGUGGAGCGCCAUCGAGUGAGAAUGCAGGCAUGAGUAGCGAGAGAGGGGUGAGAAACCCCUCCGCCGAAAGCCCAAGGGUUCCUGGGGAAGGCUAAUCCUCCCAGGGUGAGUCGGGAGCUAAGGCGAGGCCGCAAGGCGUAGUCGAUGCACAACUGGUUGAUAUUCCAGUACCACCGUAAUCGCGUCCAGCCCAAAAUUGGCGACGUGGGGGCUGUCUUCGGACGAUCCCAUCUAGCUGGUGGCGGGUAACUGAAGGGGGACGCAGGAAGAUAGGUGAACCGGAGCGAUGGUUGUCUCCGGGUAAGCGUGUAGGAGGACCCCGAUGAGAGUUGGGGUCAUUAACUCUGAGGCGUGAUGCCGAGCCGUUUCAGGCGAAGUCACUGAUUCUAUGCUGCCAAGAAAAUCCCAGCAGUGAGUUAUUACGGUGCCCGUACCCCAAACCGACACAGGUGGGCGGGUAGAGAAUACCAAGGCGAUCGGGAGAACUAUAGUUAAGGAACUCGGCAAAUUACCUCCGUAACUUCGGAAGAAGGAGGACCCCAUUAGCGUGAAGGACAUACGUCCGGAGCGUGAGGGGGUGGCACAGACCAGGGGGUAGCGACUGUUUACCAAAAACACAGCAGCGUGCGAAGCCGCAAGGCGCUGUAUACGCUGUGACGCCUGCCCAAUGCUGGAAGGUCACGGGGAACGGUUAGUCGAAAGGCGAAGCUGUGAACCUAAGCCCCAGUGAAUGGCGGCCGUAACUAUAACGGUCCUAAGGUAGCGAAAUUCCUUGUCGG